rnacentral:rRNA from 1 species
AGAGUUUGAUGGUGGCUCAGAUUGAACGCUGGCGGCAUGGUUAAUGCAUGCAAGUCGAACGAAAGCCCUUCGGGGUGAAAGUGGCGAAAGGGCGAGUAAUACGAUCGAACGUACCCCAAGGUGGAGGAUAGUGUCGAGAAAUCGGCGGUAAUACUCCAUGUGCUCUUCGGAGGAAAGCUUUGGCGCCUCGGGAGCGGCGAUCGUCCUAUCAGGUAGUUGGUGAGGUAACGGCUCACCAAGCCGAAGACGGGUAGCGGGUGUGAGAGCAUGACCCGCCGCAUCGGAACUGAGACACUGUCCGGACUCCUACGGGAGGCUGCAGCGACGAAUCUUCCGCAAUGGGCGAAAGCCUGACGGAGCAAUGCCGCGUGUGGGAUGAAGCAUCUUCGAUGUGUAAACCACUGUCAGAAUCUAGGAACACUGACCAGAUUCAAAGGAAGGGCCGGCUAAUUCUGUGCCAGCAGCCGCGGUAAUACAGAAGGCCCGAGCGUUAAUCAGAAUCACUGGGCUUAAAGCGUGCGCAGGCUGUCCAGCAAGCAUCCCGUGAAAUCCCUCGGCUCAACCGGGGAACUGCGGGGUGAACUGCUGGACUUGAGAAAGGUAGGGGCUGAUGGAACCAUGAGUGGAGCGGUGAAAUGCGUAGAUAUUCAUGGGAACGCCGAUGGGGAAGCCGAUCAGCUGGGCCUUUUCUGACGCUCAUGCACGAAAGCGUGGGGAGCAAACAGGAUUAGAUACCCUGGUAGUCCACGCCGUAAACGAUGUGCACUA